GGCGCUAUAGUGUAGCUGGUUAUCACACGAGGUUCUGACCCUCGUAACCUCAGUUCGAAUCUGGGUAGCGCCU
rnacentral:tRNA from 1 species